ACAAAAAUGUGGCCCGUUUGGUUCCUCCCCCCUCCUGCUGCCAUUAUUGUCUGCUGUGGAUGAGAGGGAUGGUAUUUGUUGCUCCCCCUCCAGGGAUGUUGCCGGGCAUUGCACAUGGGAAUACAACGAAAUAACAAGAUAACAAGAUAAAAGCCUCGUGACGAGCUUCAAAGCGCAACGAUAGCUUGAAUACAAGAAGAGUCGGUUGUUAGCAGCCCAACCAGCCAGUAUUCAUUUAAGGCAGCAACCAGAACCGAGCACGGACCAAAUUGGAGUAUCCAGAGAAAUCCUACACACGCACGUACGGGGAGAACAUGAAAAAACCCACACAGUAUGUAGACAGUAUGUAGCGUACUCAGCUGUGAGCGACAACAACAGCGAAAAGCGGCCUGGCUCGGCGCCGCGAUGACCCGCCACAGCUCGGCGCUGCGAUUAGCCACCCAGGCCGAAGUCGUGAUCGGUGGACGCCGCGCACCGAAGCAGUGAUCGGUGGAUGUGGCGCCGAUGCACACCCCUGACUUACGACUGUAGCUGUAUACACACCUACCUGUCAUUUGGAACCCACAAAGCUCUCCUCCAUUGCACCUGUGCAAUCCAUUUUUCACGACGAACCAGGUCUUUUGGAAAGAGAUGAAGGGUGAAUCCAUCCUCCCGAGUGUUCGAACAAUAUCCAGUAAUGCAACGAACCGGCAUUUUGGCUAACACGAAGGAACAAAGAGUUACCUUCCCGCAGGUAAAAGUGGUAUAAACAGACGAGGCCGCCUGAGUGGGUGCCGUGGUAACGUCACUUCCUGCUUCUUCUCCGAAACAAAUCCCUCGAGAGGAUUUUCAUAGCGGGAGUGACAAAAAGCCAUGUUCGUCAAAAUUAUGUUGUGUGGUGAAAAAAUGGAUGCGUCCAUUCUGGCUGCCUCUUUUUCAUUAAUAACAUACUAAAAAUGAUGCUUUUCCCCUCAGAGGCCUUUUAAUGGAGAAGCCAACGAGGAGGCCCCGUAGCUCAGUGUUCAGAGCAUUGGCUUGGUAUACCAGGGGUCGUGAGUUCGUAUCUCACUGGGGGUCCGCUCCCCCUGAGGGGUUGCGUCAGGAAGGGCAUCCGGGACAAAAACUGUGCCAAACAAAUAUGAGCGUUUCAUCUGCGAUGACACGCUGCGGCGACCCUUAACGCGACAAGCCAAAAGAAACUUACUUAAACAAACAUUGACCCAUUUUAUGAAGGUAAAGUAUAGUUCCCUGUUUUUUUUCUUUUUUUUUUUUAAUUCAGCCCGCGGUUACUUGUAAUAUUUCCUUCUUGUGUCCAUGCAUCACUUUGGAAGUUGCUGGCUUCAAUUUCACUUCCCUGGCCCCUGUGGAUAGAACAUAUGCUCAGACACUAAAAAAAGGACAAUUGACUUGCGCUAGUGCAGUUCGGCGUCGAGCAACGCACUCCUCGUGUCUCUCUGCUACUUCCCUUCGAGUGCAGUAUUCAAUUAAUCAUUUAUAUGGCGUUUUCGCAGUUGUAAUAUGUCUUUAUUCAUUCUGGUCGAUUUCACGCUGUACGAUCCGAAGAGAACAUAUGUAACAAAACUGUCAUUACUAGAUUACUAGUAAUCUUGUUCAGUGACUUUUCCCGCAAUGUAUUCUCUGUCAACCAACUGUCUUCUGUCAUACUAGAUGGACAAAUUCCUUGUGCGUUUUUGACAUCCAUCCAUCCAUCCAUUUUCUUCGCUGCUUAUCCUCAAGAGAGUCGCAGGGAGUGCUGGAGCCUUGUUCUAGCUAAAAUGUUAAUUGCUUGCGCGCUUAUGAUAAUCACGAAUGGUAACCGUUUAGCAAAGACUGAUUUGACUUUCCCGAAGUCUGUACAGAGUUUAUCCAUCCAUCAAUUUUCUUUGCCGCUUAUCCUCACAAGGGUCGCGGGGAGUGCCGGAGCCUAUCCCAGCUGUCAAUGGGCAGGAGGUGGGGUACACCCUGAACCGGUUGCCUGGCAAUCGCAGGGCACAUCGAGGCAAACAGUCGCACUCACAAUCACACCUUGGGGCAAUUUAGAGUGUGCAAUUAAUGUGAGAGGAAACCGGAGUGCCCGAAGAAAACCCACGCAGGCACGGGGAGAACAUGAAAACUCCACACAGGCGGGUCUGGGAUUGAACACAGGACCUCAGUACUGUGAGGCCAACACUUUACCAGUUGAUCCACCCUGCCGCCCGUUUUUGACAUACUUGGCAACACUAAAGAUGAAUUUUGUUGGAUUUUUUUUGGUUUCAAUCUGGAACAAAAGGAUUGCGCCUAAUUUACAAUCAAGUUGCUCAAACUCCAACUCUGUAAUUUUCAAUAAGUCACUUGGGUACACUUUUAAUGUCAACAUUUUUUGGUGAGGUUGUUAUGUUACCUUCACAGGUUUCCUUGGCUGACAUACAGUCACUUCCAAAUUUAGACUCACCUCCCUCCCUUCGGUGUAGUAUCAUGUCGCACCACCCCAAAAAUGCACAUAUACACCCACGCUCGUAUACGGCAGUGCAGCGGAGGAGCUCGCCCAGUGCGGGCCUGCAGCACGCGCUUAGCAGAGCGCCUAAUUGCACUGAUAAAUUUGAGAGGGGGAAACAAAAGCUCCCAGGAAGCAGAAUGCCUCGCGUGAACCUGCAGAUGGAGGCGGCUGCUUAAUGGGCGCCCCUCACAGCCACGUUAACGGCGCUGUGCGCACGCUUAAGGCUAAAAGUAAGUUUGUGAGGCUCAAAACGAACAACACUUCUACGUUUUGCGGCACAGUACGUGCUCAUGAUACAUACUUUAACUGACAGAUUGUUCUUUAAGGACUUUCUACAUCAUGCUAGCCGCAGGCCAUUAGUACUGUAAUUUCCGGCCUAUAAGCCACAAUUUUUUUCCACAUGCUUUCAACCCUGCGGUUUAUGCGGUGAUGCAGCUAAUUUGUGCAAUUUUUUCUAACGGCCGCAAGGGGGCACUUGAGUGGAAAAGCCAAGAGUGAGACUGGUGGAAUAUAUGUGCCGAGGAAGUGACUUUUACCGAUCCAGCCCUGUUAGCGCUGCACUAGCGUGUUACUGCCAUGUCUCAGUGAUUUUUACCAGUUUUUUUUUAACCGACCCUAUUAGCGCAGCGGCGCUAAUGUUAGCGUGGCGGCACUAGUGUUAGUGUUACGUGGUGGCGCUAGCAUUAAACUCUCUGUGUGCUGGCAUGUUGCUGCUGCGUUACUGGCAUGUCUCAGUGAUAUUUAACGAUAAGUUUCAUUUUAACCGGCUCUGUUAGGGUUAGCGCAGCGCUAGCGUUAAACUCUUUCUAUGCACAGUCUUUCUUUGUCAAUAUCUUGUGUUUCAAAGUGGGUUUCAACGUGCGGACCUGCAGCUUUUACACAGCUAUGGAGUUUGUAUGUACAAAAUGGUAUUUCCUUUACAAAUCUACUGGGUGAGGCUUAUAACCAGGUGCGCUCUGUAGGCCGGGAAUUACGGUAAGUGUUUGACUGGACGUUUAUUUUGUUAUCUGUGUGUGUAUUUUUAUUCUUUGUUAUCUUUAAUUUCCUUUUAUGCUGUUAGGUUGUUGUAAUGCGGGUCUUUGUGACAUUGUUUCCUUUAAUACUUUUAAGUCCUUAUGAUGUGCCGCGGUUUCCUCUAAUGCUCUUUGGUCCAUGUGACGCAAACUCUUUGUUUCCUUUGUGAUGCAGAAGUCUGAAAUGUUUCAAGGAUUUCCUAUAUAAGGAUGAGAAAGACGGACAACGAGAAUGAGAGCAUUUCACCACUCAAGUCAGGUAGGUGAAGGUGCUGGAUGUGGAGGUCCGGCCGGUUUGGUUACAUCUGGUCUGCGGUUGUGAGGUCGGUGUGAUGGUCUGAGUGCUCCCGGUGCUGAAAAGUCUUCUUGUGAUUACCGUGCUUGCACAUAUAUUAAUUUGCAUGCGCAUAUAUUUUGUAAACUUCUGGCCAGUCUGAAACGUCUCCAUCCAUGCUUCAACGUGUACCAUUCGACAACUUGUCGCCGAGUGUUCACGUUCGUUAUUGUUGUGUGUGUGAAAUGUUUCGAGAAGUGCCUAUAUAAGGACGAGAAAGACGGAGAACGAGGCUUCUUCUUACGACCUCACCGCUGGCUCUGGGAAACUACACUGCUUGGAACGCGAACUACACGGAACACCUGCCACCUUUGGUUUUUGGCUGGAACUUUGGCUAACUCGGAAUACCCGCUGAGACGAACAUUUGCCUUUUUGGGAACGCUCGUUCAACCUUGGUGACGAUUCUCCGUUGUGGCUCAGCUACUCUGUUCUUUAACGCCUAUUUUGUAUUAGCUAUUUUAUCGUGUUUGUGUUACAUUGAUGUGUGUGAGAUUAAAUUGUCAGAAACGCAAUACAACUGCCUUGUCGCAUUUUGCUGGUUUGGACAAAGUGGGCGUUGGUCUAAAUUCGCACGUAAUAAUUUGGUGUCUUAUUGGUAUCUUAUUUCCUUGAAUAUGCUGAAUCAGCAGUCGAGGUCAUUGGUCAGGAAAACAAAAGCACCAGAGUAAAAAAAUCAAUUCUGCAUGUAGCCUUGUUCUGGUAUUUAUAUGCAAUUAUGUGAGACUUUGAAAUUCACAAGUGUCUUGAUAUUUAGCCCUUCGCCACAACCUUGUCUUACGCAUAAUGUGAAUUUGAGUGAGUUUCCCCAUUUAAGAUGACCAUCUGCCUCUUAAUUUUACUCUCACGGCUCUUCGAGAGCAUCAGCUGCAGCCAAAACCUCUUAACUCGGCAACUUAGCACACAGCUCAAAAACCGACCUACAAGGAAUGCGGCGGCACCCCGCAUGAACCGUAGAAAUCCUUCAGCUCAGCUGUCAAUCAUUAAUGUAUUGACUUCUGCAACCUCACCAAAAGAAUGAAAAAGUACAUCGCUGAUGUCUCCCCGGCUAAACUACGCACACGAGGCAACUUUAACUUGAUGGAAAUAUUCUUUGAAGUGUACCGACAUGAUUACAAGUGCAACCAAACAUCACUUUAAUUGCACGCCUUUGUUGCUUUGCUCGUUCCCUGACUUGGAAAGUAAACCUGAUUGUGCUCUUUUGCAGAGGAGCAAAGUUUAGUGCCAACGCAGCAUUUGCCAAAUGCUACUUUUUGCAAGAGAUGAUUUAGUGUUUCUUCUUUUUGCGCCGUGUGGAAAAUUGGAGUGAACUUUUCCUUUUUGCUUCACGCAAUGGCUCGUUUAAUUCGGUUUUGUUGAAACAAUCGUUUGUUACAUGCACAGUAGGCUGUCACUCAUGAUGUGAAGAGAAAUUAGGAUCAUCAGCCGUCAGGGCCAGCAAGAUCUUUUGUGCUCCAAUAAAAAGAAAAACUGACCUACAUUUAUAGUUGAUAUAGAAUUUCUACACACCCCUGUUCAAAUACCAGCCGGAAAGCACAAUGUUGCCACCACCAAGCUUCCCUGUAGUUGUUUUUUUUUUUUAUGGUGAGAAUAAGUUUAUGAAGCUCAAAAUAAACAACACUUGGUAUAUAAAACAACACUAGGUGCUCAUGAUACAUACUUUAACUGCCAUAUUGUUGUUUAAGGCCUUUCUACAUCAUGCUGGCUGCAGGCCAUUCGUACCGUAUUUUCCGGCCUAGAAGCCGUGACUUUUUUUCAAACGCUUACAACCCCUGCGUUUUAUGCGAUGGUGCGGCUAAUUUGUGCAUUUUUUUCUAACGGCCGCAAGGGGGCACUGGAACAGAAAAGGUAAGAGUGAAACCGGUGGAAUAUAUGUGCUGAGGAAGUGACUUUUACCGGUCUGGCACUGUUAGCGCUGCACUAGCGUGUUACUACCGUGUCUCAAUCAUUUUCACCAGUAUGUUUUUUUAACCGGGCUGUUAGCACGGUGGCGUUAGCAUCAGUGAAGGGGCACUAGCUUUAAACUCUGUGUACCGUCUUUCUUUGAACGUAUCUCGUGUUUCAAUGUGGGCACUUGCGGCUUUUACACAGCUGCGGCCUACGUAUGUACCAAAUGGUAUUUCCUUUAGAAAUGUACUGGGUGAGGCUCAUAACCAAGUGUGCUCUGUAGGCCAGGAAUUACGGUUAGGUGUUUAACUGGAUGUUAAUUUUGUUAUAUGUGUGUGUAUUUUUAUUCUUUGUUCUCUUUAUUUUUAAUUAUUUCAUGGCCAAAAUUUUCCCUAACACUAACCCGGUUUCUUUAGACCAUAAAACCCUUUCCUACCUUUAUUAUUAUUUGUUUUUACUUUGAACGAUAAGGCUUCUGUCUUGCCACCUAUACCUACAGCUCAGAGAUAUGAAGAAAAUGGGCUGAUUGUUAUCACGUACUGAACAAACACUACUUGCCAUAAAGUCCUGCAGCAGCCUCCUGACAGCCUCUCUGACCAGUUUUCUUCUCUUUUGAUCAAUUUUUGAGGGAUGUGGAGUUUUUGGUAAUGCCACUGGCCGUAUUUUCUCCAUUUUAGGUUUACUGUCCUGUUCUUGUUUUGUUUUGUCAUUUCUGGUGCAGGGAUGAGAAUGACCAAUUUGAAAAAACACUGAAAACACUGGCACAAUUUUUUUUUUUAUAAAACACUGUUAAAUGGUGACCUCUGGUUACUUCUAACAGUGUAAUUACAGGGCGAUCAUAACAUUUUCAAAAUUUAAAAUAUGAUUCCAAACAACCAAAAUAAUUUAGCCAAACUUCAGAAAAUGUAGACAGAGAAAUUUAUACCAAA